rnacentral:rRNA from 1 species
CCAGACUCCUACGGGAGGCAGCAGUGGGGGAUAUUGCACAAUGGGGGGAACCCUGAUGCAGCGACGCCGCGUGAGUGAAGAAGUAAUUCGUCAUGUAAAGCUCUAUCAGCAGGGAAGAAUAAAUGACGGUACCUGAGUAAGAAGCCCCGGCUAACUACGUGCCAGCAGCCGCGGUAAUACGUAGGGGGCAAGCGUUAUCCGGAUUUACUGGGUGUAAAGGGAGCGUAGACGGCAUGGCAAGUCUGAAGUGAAAGCCCGGGGCUCAACCGCGGGACUGCUUUGGAAACUGUUAAGCUGGAGUGCAGGAGAGGUAAGUGGAAUUCCUAGUGUAGCGGUGAAAUGCGUAGAUAUUAGGAGGAACACCAGUGGCGAAGGCGACUUACUGGACUGUAACUGACGUUGAGGCUCGAAAGCGUGGGGAGCAAACAGGAUUAGAUACCCCCGUA